rnacentral:rRNA from 1 species
GGGGAGCNUUACUGGNNCAGUCGAGGGGCAUCGGGAGGGAAGCUUACUUUCCUUGCCGGCGACCGGCGCACGGGUGAGUAACACGUAUGCAACCUGCCCUCUUCAGGGGGACAACCUUCCGAAAGGGAGGCUAAUCCCGCGUAUAUCGGUUUCGGGCAUCCGUUAUCGAGGAAAGAUUCAUCGGAAGAGGAUGGGCAUGCGGCGCAUUAGCUAGACGGCGGGGUAACGGCCCACCGUGGCGACGAUGCGUAGGGGUUCUGAGAGGAAGGUCCCCCACACUGGUACUGAGACACGGACCAGACUCCUACGGGAGGCAGCAGUGAGGAAUAUUGGUCAAUGGGAGAGAUCCUGAACCAGCCAAGCCGCGUGAGGGAAGACGGCCCUAUGGGUUGUAAACCUCUUUUGUCGGAGAACAAAACCCGGGACGUGUCCCGGACUGCGUGUAUCCGAAGAAAAAGCAUCGGCUAACUCCGUGCCAGCAGCCGCGGUAGUACGGAGGAUGCGAGCGUUAUCCGGAUUUAUUGGGUUUAAAGGGUGCGUAGGCGGUCUGUUAAGUCAGCGGUAAAAUUGCGGGGCUCAACCCCGUCGAGCCGUUGAAACUGGCAGACUUGAGUUGGCGAGAAGUACGCGGAAUGCGCGGUGUAGCGGUGAAAUGCAUAGAUAUCGCGCAGAACUCCGAUUGCGAAGGCAGCGUACCGGCGCCAGACUGACGCUGAGGCACGAAAGCGUGGGGAUCGAACAGGAUUAGAU